rnacentral:rRNA from 1 species
CCCUUAGAUGUUCUGGGCCGCACGCGCGCUACACUGACGAAUGCAACGAGCUUAUAACCUUGGCCGAAAGGUCUGGGUAAUCUCCAAAUUUCGUCGUGAUGGGGAUAGAUUAUUGCAAUUAUUAAUCUUCAACGAGGAAUGCCUAGUAAGCGCAAGUCAUCAGCUUGCGUUGAUUACGUCCCUGCCCUUUGUACACACCGCCCGUCGCUCCUACCGAUUGAAUGGUCCGGUGAAGCGCUCGGACCGCGGCCUCUUGACGAUUUUCCGUCGAUUGGCUGUGGGAAGUUCGUUAAACCUUAUCAUUUAGAGGAAGGAGAAGUCGUAACA